AAUAAAUUUUAAGUAAAAUCAUAUUUAAAAAAUAUAUGAUUUUGUUUGGGUGCUAGCCGCGUAAUUGCGUGGGCCGCCCAACUAGUUAUACUGUAUACGUUCGAUAAUUUUUGAAAGAAAAUUUGCUGAAGCCUGAAAACCUACAUAAUGAGGAUAUCAGGAUGCACUUUCUCUCAUAGUCAUAUUUCAUCAGUUCCUCGUAAGAACAGAGAACUCGAGAGGUUGCGCUUCAGUGCCGCGAAGAAAGGACGAGCUAUUCCACCCUCCCGGUCGGUGCGUUUGCGAUGAAGAAGACGGUGGUUCUCUACCCCGGCCUCGCCGUCGGCCACCUGAACCCCAUGAUGGAGCUCGCCGACGUCUUCCUGGACCACGGCUACGCCGUCGCCGUGGCGCUCAUCGACCCGUCGGUCAUGGAGAACGAAGCCAACCUCGCCGCCGCCGUCGCCCGCGCCGUCUCCUCCAAGAGCUCCACCAUCUCCUUCCACACGCUCCCGGGCAUCCCGGACCCUCCCUCGCUCGCCUUCAACGAUCAGUUCUUCAAGAACUACUUCGACCUCGUGCGACGCCACAACGAGCACCUCCACGACUUCCUCCGCUCCGUGCGGGGCCUCCAUGCCGUGGUCAUCGACGCAUCGUGCGCCCAUGCCCAUGAAGCCGCGAGGAAGCUGGGAGUCCCUGUCUUGAUGUUCUACCCGUCCAACGCCGGCCACCUCGCCGUUAACUUGCAGGCUCCUCUGCUUGUUGACGGGUUCAAGAAGCAUCUGGGAGGAGAUAGUACUAGUCCUGUCGAGUUCUUGGGUGUUCGACCCAUGUCGGCUUCUCACUUGGCUGGCCUUUUUGGGCCGAUUAGCGAGGUGAACAAGGAUUUCGAGGCCAUGAUUUUUGCCGGUGCGCGCAUGAAGGCGGAGUUCGACGGAAUCCUGAUCAACACGUCCGUGUCGCUGGAGGAGCGGGCGCUGCGAGCUCUCGCCGACCCGCGCUGCUGCCCCGACGGCGUGGUAAUCCCGCCGGUGUACGCCGUGGGGCCACUGGUCGACAAAGCCGCCGCCGCCGCCGGUGAUGAGAGCAGCCGACAUCAGUGCCUCGUGUGGCUCGACUGACAACCCGACCGCAGCGUCAUGUUCCUCUGCUUCGGGAGCAUCGCCGACGCAUGUGAACAGUCCGACCAGCAGCUGAAGGAGAUCGCCGCCGGCCUGGACAAGUCCGGCCACCGCUUCCUGUGGGUGGUUCGGGCAACCAGCACCCAACACCUCGACGCGCUCCUACCGGAGGUGUUCUUCGCAAGAACCAGCGGCCGCGGCCUCGUCGUCAACAGCUGGGUGCCCCAGCCGAGCAUCCUCCGCCACCGCGCCACCGCCGCGUUCGUGACGCACUGCGGGUGGAACUCGGUGCUAGAGGGGAUCACCGCGGGGGUGCCGAUGCUCUGCUGGCCGCUGUACGCGGAGCAGAGGAUGAACAAGGUGCUCAUGGUGGAGGACAUGGGCGUCGGCGUGGAGAUGGAGGGAUGGCUGGAAGGGCUGGUGACCGCCGAGGAGGUGGAGACGAAGGUGAGGCUGGUCAUGGAGUCCGAGCAUGGAAGGAAGGUUAGAGAGCGUGUCGAGGCGCACAGAGAUGGCGUGGCCAUGGCCUGGAAAGAUGGUGGCUCGUCGCGUGUCGCGUUUGCCCGUCUCAUGUCUGAAUUACUCAACGUGUAAGGUUGAAAAUAGUAUGGAAUUUCCCAAUUGUAUCUUACUACUCCGUUCAAAAAUAUAAUAAUUUUUCACAAGAA